UAUGUAGGCGGAAUGGUUAGCGUCAUGUGAAAUCCCUCGGCUUAACCGAGGAAUUGCGUGGCGAACUGCCAUUCUUGAGGCAGGCAGGGGUGUGUGGAACUCUUGGUGGAGCGGUGGAAUGCGUAGAUAUCAAGAGGAACGCCCGUGGAGAAAUCGGCACACUGGACCUGAUCUGACGCUGAGAUACGAAAGCGUGGGGAGCGAACAGGAUUAGAUACCCUGGUAGUCC
rnacentral:rRNA from 1 species